rnacentral:rRNA from 1 species
UACGUAGGGGGCAAGCGUUGUCCGGAAUCAUUGGGCGUAAAGAGCGUGUAGGCGGCCAGAAAAGUCCGCUGUGAAAACUCGAGGCUCAACUUCGAGCUGUCGGUGGAAACUUUCUGGCUAGAGUCCGGAAGAGGAGAAUGGAAUUCCUGGUGUAGCGGUGAAAUGCGCAGAUAUCGGGAAGAACACCCGUGGCGAAGGCGGCUCUCUGGGACGGUACUGACGCUGAGACGCGAAAGCGUGGGGAGCGAACAGG